CUGGCUUUACACAUAUCCCUACAGAAAAACACGUUAUGGGGCGUUGGUUAGUUGAAAAAUCACAAAAAAAAGUCAAACCUACCGGCGAGGGGGGUCUCCGGGUGUGACAACUCCACUGGUCCUCCUUCGCAGUUGGGGUUCUUUCUUUGGCUAACUUGCACAUAAAAGGACGGUGAAUACAAUUAUCAAAAAAUUGCGUGAAAUGGAA
rnacentral:lncRNA from 1 species